CCCCUUUUCAAAGCACUCAAUGGUCCUUCUGGUAGUAACUCAUUGAGUGGUCAAGAAGGGGCAGAGUGAAAACACCCCUUUUGGGUGAAAUAGCAACUUCUGUUGUUUUGCUUCAGUCAGUGUCAUAAUUAGA
ensembl:snoRNA